AGAUUUUUUCUAUUAUUCCAAUUCUUAUUUAUUGAUUAUCUAAUUUAUUUAGAUCCAUAUUCAUUUUCAUUUGCAAAUACAAACUCUCUUUCAUUUUCUUUUUACUUUUGCGCUAAGGAUAAGGGAACUGAGAAAAAAAGAGCUGCCUUGGCUGGUACAUCAAGCAUAUGACAUAUUGCUUGUUCGGUGUGGUACACAUAUCUGUCAAUGUCAAUCAAGUAAGAAAAUGCAUUCCCACUAUCUGAGGAAAAGGUGAAGAAUUGCAAUUUAUUGAGCUUGUAAGGCCCGUUGAAGUCCCCGAGAAAGGGUAUAAAUAGGGCUAUAAGUAGGCCGUUUGCUAUUGCAAUAAGGGCUACUCGCCUUUCCUUUUGACGGCUUGGCUUCCUAUCGCUCCUAUGUAGUGGUCGGCCUUAAAAGAGUCUUCCUACCAUACCAUCAUGCAUGCCUAUGUUAUAGAUCGGAAGAGCGCAC